rnacentral:rRNA from 1 species
GCUUGUCUCAAAGAUUAAGCCAUGCAUGUCUAAGUACAAGCCUAACUAAGGUGAAACCGCGAAUGGCUCAUUAAAUCACACCUAAUCUACUGGAAUGUUAGCAGUUACUUGGAUAACUGAGGUAAUUCUUGAGCUAAUACAUGCGAAAAAUCUCGACUCACGGAGAGAUGCUUUUAUUAGAUCAAAACCAAACAGAUUCGUCUGUAUAUUUGGUGACUCGGAAUAACUUUGGGCUGAUCGCAUUGCCUUGUGCAGGCGACGUUUCCUUCGAAGGUGUGCCCUAUCAACUGUCGACUGUGAUAUAGACGCUCACAGUGGUUUUGACGGGUAACGGGGAAUCAGGGUUCGAUUCCGGAGAGGGAGCCUUAAAAACGGCUACCACAUCCAAGGAAGGCAGCAGG